ACACGUGAAGGGAGGUGGUCCGAAGUUGUAUAGCAACGGGACUCGUGAGGUGGCUGUCCGCUAGCCGCUGUCCUUGACAGCUUCGUUUUGAGCGUCGAGACCGUGUGGCAGCGGCCGGCGAGUACCAGACAGCCACCCGACCCCCGGGGAUCCGGCCUUGUCCGACCGGACCUCGCUCGUUCGCGAGCGAGGAAGUCCCCGGGGGUCGCUUAAU
rnacentral:sRNA from 1 species